UUAAUGAAAGCAACUAAUGGAAUAAAACUCUUACCAUCGAUGCUCCUCUAUUGCUGAUCUACAUCCUCACCCUUCUCAUCUCUGAUCUGUCCCUCACCCCUCAAUCUUCCUAGCGUUGAUCUACUUCACUUCACCAUUUUGAGCCCUAAUUUGAGAGAAAAUUCCCAUUUGAAGAUAAAGAAAAAAGGCUCUCUCUCUCUCUCUCUCUCUCCCUCUCUCUCUUUCUCUCUCUUAAAACCCCUCUCAAAUCAUCCACUUCCAUUCUCUCUACAAGGCCCUUCGAUUUCCCUCAAAGCCCCUCUCCGACCCCAAUUUACAACGAUUCAGAUGUGAAGUCAAAGCCUCGAAAGUGACUCAUCAAGAAGAACACGACGGCUGAGGAGAGCACUCCUGAUUUUGGAAUCGAAGAAGAGGAUGAUGCGGAAGAAUUGGGGGAUUUUAUGAGAGAAGAGUCAGACUACGAUGAUUUUGGGGAUGGAAAGAGGAAGAAGUUUGAGAAAGAUUGUAUUGGUAGUAGUAGGAAGCGGGACAGACAUUGAUAAACACACGUUCACUCUCUGCCUUCCUCGCUCUCUACCUCAACUACCCCUCUUCAGCACCACCACCGACUUUGCCCAUUCUCCCUUUUUAGCGCUACUACCGACAUCGUAUCUCCGAACUAGCGUUAGCGCCGCCAUUAUCUCUUCGAGUAUUCAAGAAUUAGGGACAGACAUUGAGAAACAUCAUGAAAUAUUUUUGAUCUCUUCUUUAUCUCUCUCUAUUGAUUUGGUUUUGGCUAUGAAUAUAGUUUUCAUCUUCUCUCUCUUAGUUUGGUUUUGAAUGUUUUGUUUCAUUUCCUUUUUAUGAUUGCUUUGUGUUUUGAUUGCCCCUUUGUAUAUCUUUAUUCUCUCUCUGUUUGGGUUUUAUUUUCUUAGAUUUCCUUAACUUCUCUUUAUGUAUGCUAUGUAUUUGAUCAAAUGUCACAAUGUACAAGUAGAACUUCUUUGAAAAUUCAGACUAUUUUAUUUGCUUUAUUUAUUUAAUUUGCAUACAUGUCAAACUAUUAUUAUUUAUUUAAUCCAUUAAGGGAAAUGAAACGUUAGGUGCUCCAGCUGUUUUAGACAUUGAAAAUAAUCCCACAACUUUGUUGGUAAUGAACUGUUGCAAGAAUUUUGAGCAAGAACAACAAAGAGAUUGCUAGUGAUGUUGGUGCAGGGGAGUUUCCUCUAAAACUAAAAAUUAAGGGAAUGGUAAUUAACAUGGAUGCCAAAUGUCUUAGAGGUCAAUGUAAUAAUUGAGAGCAUUGAUAAUGUAGGUUGUAGAUCUGUAAGGAUGAUUAGAACUUGGUUGGGUAUGGCUUAUUAUGAACAAUAUUUUUUUUCAUCUUUCUUGGCCCUACUUAUUCUCCAAAUACGUUAUUGUCUUUCUAGUUCUUGAACCUUGGGUGCUUAAAUAUUGUCCAUGAUUUAAUGCAGAUCAAGCACAAAUUGACCUCGAUGCAAAGAAACUAUAAAGUUAUGUGAAGGAGAAGUCCUUCUUGAUUUCAGAAAAAGGUGUUCUUACUGACAAGAUCAAUGCGGGUGUUCUCAGAUCUCUUGUGUCCCUAACAGACAAACCAAAAGGUUGACAUAAAGCAUGAAAUGGAGAGGACGGAGCAAGAAAAGAAGAAAAAUCAAAAGGUUGAAUUUGUUAUAGGAGGAACACAACAUGGAGUGGUUGCACAGGCACCAAAAAUUAAUAUUCCAAUUUCAGGUGCAAUAAAUGUGGUUGCUGGUGGGUUACAUCCAGUUCUAGGUGCAGUUGAUUCUGUGACUCGGGAUGGCAGGUAAAAUAAGAAGUCAAAGUGGGAUAAGGUUGUGAUCUUCACAUAUAGUAAACUGGGCUCAAUUGGCCCGCUUCUAUGAGCGCUAUAUUUUUUGUUGUUGUAAAGAUACAAGUAAUGAUCAGUAAUUUUUAGGUGGAUGGUGAUCGAAGAAAUCUGCUGCCUCUUGGAGGGUAGGAUUCUUUAUCUGUAGCUGGUGCACAUGCAGCAUUCUUAAGUGCUGCUAAUGCUGGCUGCCUACAAUGUUGGAGGUCAUGCAGUAAGUGCAGAUACAAUACAGAAUUCUAUCCUUGGAUGCCGCAUGUCUCAUCCUGAACAGGUGAUCAGGUGCGGGACAAGGCUUAAGCUGUUGCCUGGAAUUCUAUUUUGUCAAGCUAACCAUAGUGCCUCCCGGGGAGGUUCUCAAGUGUUCAAGCGUCCAAGUCAAGUGCACGUGGUGUCUGUUUUAUCAUUUUCCUCUUUAGGACAAGACUUUUAUGUAGACUGUAUAAAAGAGCUAAGUCUAGUUUUGUUUUAUCCACUUUUUGGUGCUGUAAGGAUGACGUAUUUAUGACGUCACAUAUAUGUGAAUGUAAGUCUUUAAUUUUAUUGUCCCAUAUAUGUCUGCACAGCUCUAUGGACAUCAUAUGUUUGUAUAAAU